rnacentral:rRNA from 1 species
CCCUUAGAUGUCCUGGGCCGCACGCGCGUUACACUGAUGCAUUCAACGAGCUUAUAACCUUGGCCGAGAGGCCUGGGCAAUCUUGUUAACGUGCAUCGUGAUAGGGAUAGAUUAUUGAAAUUAUUAAUCUUGAACGAGGAAUUCCUAGUAAACGCAGAUCAUCAAUCUGCAUUGAUUACGUCCCUGCCCUUUGCACACACCGCCCGUCGCACCUACCGAUUGGAUGGUCCGGUGAAGCCUCGGGAUUGUGGUUCUUGCCGCUUUAUUGUGGCGUGACCGCGAGAACUUGUCUAAACCUUAUCAUCUAGAGGAAGGUGAAGUCGUANCA